rnacentral:misc_RNA from 1 species
GAUCCCAUGAGCUUCUAUGAGAAUCAAUCUUCUUUCAAGGUAGUUGAGGAAGGAUUCUGUAGUAUGUUUUGUAGGCAGUUAUGCUUUUUACCACAGAGGCCACAUAUCUCACUACAUUUAUUGACAUACCAGUCCUGAACAAGACUGAAAGGUACUUGUAUGUUUGACCUAGUAUUAUCUGCUGAAGCAAGAUAUUCCAUUGGACUUACUAUACCAAUUUCAGAUUAUCCUCCACCAUAAUUGAAUCUUUCUCUCUCUUAUGUUCAAUCCAACUAUAUCCUGGACCUUUAACCACCUCUUUAUCGCUCAUCAGCCCUCUGACAGCCCUUACAUCAUCCCAUCUUCCCAAGGAAGUGUAGAUAUUUGCUAGAAGCACAUAAGGAGAAGAGUUUUGGGGGUCCAGGCGGAUGAGUUCCUCUGCUGCUUUUUUCGCUAACCUCACAUUCGAAUGGAGUCUACAAGAACUAAGCAAAACCUCCCACACAAUUGGAUCGUCUUUAUAUGGCAUUUUAUCCAUAAGCAUUUCUGCUUCACGAAAUUGGCCAGCACGAGCCAAAGCAUCAAUGAUGCAAGUAUAAUGAUCCAAAAUUGGUUCCAAUCCAUGGUCUCGUUGUAUUGAGUCAAAUAUUUCAACUGCUGUAUCAACUAAUCCUGAAUGGCUACAAGCAGUCAAAACAGCAACAAAGGUUAUCCCAUCAGGUUUCUCACCUGAUCUAAUCAUGCUUCUAUAUAGAUUAACAGCCUCACAUCCACGCCCAGUUUGAGCAUACCCAUGAAUCAUCUCAUUCCAUGUAACAGUAUUUUUAUCAGGCAUCAUAUCGAAAAAUUGUCGAGCCUCAUCCACCUCACCACAUUUACAAUACAUAUCAAUAAGAGCACUGCCCACAUACACAUCAUCCAUAAAUCCUUCUUUAGCUAUCUGAGCAUGAACCAGCCUCCCUUGAAACAAUGAAGAUAAUCUUGCACAACAGCUCAAAAUAGUAGCAUAAGAGAAUUGGGUAGGAGACAUGCCAUUUUGUCGCAUCUGCGGAAACAAAGUCAAAGCUUCCUUGUCUAAAGCAUUAAGGGAAAAACCUGCAAUGAUAGAAUUCCAACAGACAAUAUCCAAUUCAGGCAUUUUCCCAAAUACAAAUUUUGCCAUAUCCAUCUUCCCACACUUUGAAUACAUAGCAAUAAGUCCACUUGCAACAUAUAAAUCAUUAUGAAAGGCUGCUUUUUGUGAGGCAGCAUGGACCUGUUUUCCAGCCUCCAAAAGCUCCAUCCCUGCACACGAACUAAGUAUAAUAGCUAAAGUAGUUCGAUCAGGUUUUACAUAUCGGAAUUGCAUUUCUCUGAACAAUGUUAUUGCUUCCUUGUGAUUUCCAACCUGGAUAUAGCCAGAUAGGAUGGCAUUCCAUGAACUUAUGCUUGGGUAUGCCAUGCAAUCAAACAUUUGACGCCCAAUCUCCAUAUCACCAGACUUUACACAUGCUGCGAGCAUAUUAAUAUAAGUGACCUCAUCUGGUUCAAACCCACAAGAUCGCAUUUUUUGCAGAUACUCCACAGCUUUCUCACUAUUGCAUUUCUGGCCAUAGCCAGCUAUCAUGAUAUUCCAAGAGACGACACUAACUUCAGGCAAAUUAGCAAAAACCUCGUCAGCACUAUCCAUAUCACCAUUCUUUGCAUGCAUAUCAAGUAAUGAAUUACACAAGUGUAGAUCACUUUGAAACCCAAGUUUGAUUAUUAGUCCAUGUACUAGUUUCCCAAGCGCACUACACAGAGAGCCAUCAUAAAAACCAGAUUCUCGACAUGCUCCUCUGGUGCAAACACCCAAAACACUGGACAAUGAGACGCUAUCAAUUUGAAUACCUUGUCUAUACAUCAAACUAAACAUUUCCAAUGCUUCUACAACCCUAUCUGUCUGUGCAAACGCACCCAUCAUUGUUGUAAAAGUAACUUCAUUAGGUUCCUGCAUAUCUUCAAAAAGUUGAAAUGCAUCUCUAACAAGCCCGCACUUAGCAUACACACUCAACAAAGCAUUAAUCACAUACACAUUCUUUUCAAGUCCAAUUUUAACAGCAAGAUUAUGGCAUCUUCUUCCACACUCUACAUCUAACAAUGUGCCGCAUGCGCUCAAAACACUAGCCAAUGUGAAAUGGGUAGGCACAAAACCUUCCCAAAUCAUUUUAUUGCAAACAUACAAUGCCUCUCGCUCUAACCGGCCACGCACUAACGCACUAAUCAAAUUAUUCCAUGACACGGUGUUUCUCUCAGGCAUCUCAGCAAACAAUUUCUGUGCAUUUUCUAGAUUUCCUGCUUUACAAUACUGAGUUAAGACUGCAUUCCAAGAAUAAAUGUUCUUUUGCGGCAUUUUAUCGAACAAAUUGUGAGCAUAACCCGUGUUGUUGCAUUUGAAGUAAAGCUCAAUGACGCGGUUUAAGAGGAAGGUGUCUGCGGAGAGGCCAAUACGAUAAAUAUGAGCAUGGAGGAGCUUUCCAGAUAAAUGGGUUUUCUUGUCUAUGCAAGAUUGCAAGAGAUUUGCUAUGUAGAGAGUGGUUUUUCUUUCCAUUUUUUCUUGGCAGUGGAACCUGCUCAAAUUAGGAGAGAAUGAGGCUCAUGACCAAUAAAAUCUACAACUAGGGCAUCAUUCUCCACUGCAGUAAAUCUUUCGCCGCAGGGAGGACUUCAGAGUUGAG